GUCCCUGUAGCGCAAUGGAUAGCGCAUUGAACUUCGAAUUCAAAGGUCGUGGGUUCGCAUUCUACCAGGGAGG